UACGUAGGGCGCAAGCGUUGUCCGGAAUUAUUGGGCGUAAAGAGCUCGUAGGCGGUUCAGUAAGUCGGGUGUGAAAACUUUGGGCUUAACCCAAAGCGUGCAUCUGAUACUGCUGUGACUUGAGUUCGGUAGGGGAGUGGGGAAUUCCUAGUGUAGCGGUGAAAUGCGCAGAUAUUAGGAGGAACACCGGUGGCGAAGGCGCCACUCUGGGCCGAAACUGACGCUGAGGAGCGAAAGCAUGGGUAGCAAACAGG
rnacentral:rRNA from 1 species